GCCGGUACCUCUCUGCCCCCCCGCCAGCACCCUCUUCCCCCCAGGGGCAUGGAGAAGCUAGGGAGAGAAGGAGUUGCAAACUGAAAAAUACCAAUGCCUCUCCCCUUCCCCUCCCUUCCUGGCAACUCUCUCUGAUUUUAUUCGGCUCCUUUUUAUUAUUAUUAGGAUUUUUUUUUUUAUAUUCUCGGGAGCUGAGACAGACUCUCAGCAGCGGCACAGAAUGAGAGGGAAGACGAGAAAGAGAGAGAGGGAAGGAAAGGCAGAGAGAGAGGGAGAGAGAGAAAGGGAGAGUGGCAGCAACGUUGGUGUAGUCCCGUUUAUGGCUUUAUUGCUACCCAUUGAUUACUUCGCUUUGUUACACAGAAGGAAAAGAUCAUAAAAUCCUUCGACAUCCGGGUUCUUGUUAUAGCCAAAAAGAGGGAGAAAAAUAUGGGCUCUUUCCCCCAACCCACCCCCUGCCUCAGCGCCCCCUCCCCUUUGUCAAAUCAAAGGAUCUCUGGGUUAUGUCGCCGACAUUGAAUUAAGUUCGACUUCAACAGAAGAGAAACCUCAUCACGACACCUUCCGCUGUGUAUGUUCUCCCACUCCUGUUCCUUCUGAAGCCUUCAACUCCCUUCUUUUCCUUCCUCUGUCCAAUGCACUAAGUUGGAAAGAAAAUAGGGGGAUAGAUGAGGGAUGAAGGUUGCUGAGAGGGUUCCUGGGUCCAAGCGCCACGUUUUUCUGGGUUUGAGGAGGGGAGCAUUUUCUACUGGGUUGUGUUCCAAACCCUGGAAGCUAGAGUUUGGGGGCUUAUCUACUGACAAGCAGCAGGUCCAGAGUGGGACUUAGAGCUUCAGGUUUGGGGACAGAGUGCCCUUAACCCCAGCAGAUCUUAUAUUCUCCAAGAACAUUCUUCUUAGCUGAUUUUUGGUGAGUUACCCCACCAGCCCCAACCCUCUCCAUAUCAUAAAUUCUCUCCAACAUAAACACAGUUGAUGUCUCUAGAAAGCCCCUCAGAAAGAGCUCUCUCUCUCUCUCUCUCUCUCUCUCUCUCUCUCUCUCUCUCUCUCUCUCUCCCCCUCUCUCCCCCUCUCUCCCCUUUUCUUUUCUUUUCUUAAAAAAUAACCCCCCCAAAAAUAACCCCAAACAACCCUACAAACAAAUAUUUCACUUUUAGGAAAAAUGCUAUCCACAGUCCCAAGAGGAGACCCCAAGAGAAGACUGGGGAAGCAGAGGAGAGGCACAUGCCAGCUCCCCAUUACCCCAACUCAGCUCUAUAACUUCUCACUCUCCCUGUGAAGUCGAGACUUCUCCUAGUCUCUUACUUGGGCUUUGAAUUGCUCCCCCCAAAUGCACUCCACAGUCAAGAUUAUCAGCCCCACUCUCCUCCCACUGGCCAGUGUAGAAUUCCUUUCUACCCCUGAGAUGUUUUUGCUUUUUAAUCAAUAGGAAGACACAUCGUAUUCUGUCUGAGCCCCCAUUCAGAGGGAACGGGAAAAUAGGGUUGGGUGCUUUAGUGUUGCCUAUCACCCACUGAAGGGCUCUUCCUGGAGUUGGGCAGGGAUAUUUUUAGGGAAAGAGGUGCGACCCUACGUAUAACACAAUCAAGUAGAAAUGCAUUGAUUUCUUCAGGCCAGUCUCUGGGCAAAUUUAAUCUGGGUUAGCACUGGAUGGGGGAUUUUUCUGAGGGGACUUUCUCCCUCUCCAGCUAGCUCAAGGGCCUGCCCUGCCCCUCCUCUCCCUUCCUCUGUUCCCCAAACCUGGUUUCGUAUACCAAUAUAUAUUAUAUAUGAAUAUAAUAUGUACUAAAAGAAAUUCAAGUCUUACUUUGAAUGCACACACUUAGUCUCAACUAGGGAAUCAACAGAAGCAGGAGCGAUUUUUUUCCCCCUUCUUGACAUCUAGCUUCCGAUUGGCUCCGAGGGGGUCAGCUGACUUUGUCAUUUUGUCUGUCCUGGAUUGGAGCCGUCCCUAUAACCAUCUAGUUCCGAGUACAAACUGGAGACAGAAAUAAAUAUUAAAGAAAUCAUAGCCC
rnacentral:lncRNA from 1 species